AUUGAACGCUGGCGGCAUGCCUUACACAUGCAAGUCGAACGGCAGCACGGGAGCAAUCCUGGUGGCGAGUGGCGAACGGGUGAGUAAUGUAUCGGAACGUGCCCAGUCGUGGGGGAUAACGUAGCGAAAGCUACGCUAAUACCGCAUACGAUCUAUGGAUGAAAGCGGGGGAUCGCAAGACCUCGCGCAAUUGGAGCGGCCGAUAUCAGAUUAGGUAGUUGGUGGGGUAAAGGCUCACCAAGCCGACGAUCUGUAGCUGGUCUGAGAGGACGACCAGCCACACUGGGACUGAGACACGGCCCAGACUCCUACGGGAGGCAGCAGUGGGGAAUUUUGGACAAUGGGCGCAAGCCUGAUCCAGCAAUGCCGCGUGCAGGAUGAAGGCCUUCGGGUUGUAAACUGCUUUUGUACGGAGCGAAAAGGCUCUCUCUAAUACAGGGGGCUCAUGACGGUACCGUAAGAAUAAGCACCGGCUAACUACGUGCCAGCAGCCGCCGUAAGAC
rnacentral:rRNA from 1 species